GACGAACGCUGGCGGCGUGCUUAACACAUGCAAGUCGAACGAAGUGGCGAACGGGUGGGUAACGCGUAAUCAACCUGCCCUUCAGAGGGGGACAACAGUUGGAAACGACUGCUAAUACGGCAAACUAAAGGAGGGGCUGGCGUCGGAUCUGCUAGUUGGCGGGGUAACGGCCCACCAGGGCGAUGAUAAGUAGCCGGUCUGAGAGGAUGAACGGCCAAAUUGGGACUGAGACACGGCCCAGACUCCUACGGGAGGCAGCAGUGGGGAAUCUUCCGCAAUGGACGAAAGUCUGACGGAGCAACGCCGCGUGAGUGAUGACGGCCUUCGGGUUGUAAAGCUCUGUUAAUCGGGACGCGGUACCGGAAUAGAAAGCCACGGCUAACUACGUGCCAGCAGCCGCGGUAAUAC
rnacentral:rRNA from 1 species